rnacentral:lncRNA from 1 species
GAAUAAAUGGAGGCUUGAUCGGAUUAUUUUGACUUGCUUUCAUCUCUCUUUGUCUCCCCUAUGUCUUUUAUUUAAUCCCCGUUCCCCCUUCAGGAAGUCCCCAUGGAUUGAUCUGCAGGCCGGAUCAAGUGGUGCUCAGCGUGGGGGCUCCUGGCACGGAGGAGUUAACCAGGGAACCAUUUGAGACAGCCGGCUUAAACUGAAAAUGAAAGCAAAUUGAACCAGAGACCUCAGCCAAGGAGUGAGUAAACUGAAUCAAGGAUUAAAGCUUAAAGCAACAGGACAUUAAAUUAAGUACUGAGGCCUGUGCAGAUGACUACCCAGCGUCCUGCCCGAGUCACGGUGACACAACCCCCUGGAGCCUUAUGCUGCCUAUUCAGCCUUCUCCUUGAGCCAUACCACACCCAUGGUGGAUUUCAACCCCUGCCAAACAGACUACAACUGCUGACAGCCAUGCACAGAACGCCUGUGACCACAGAAGAGGCUCUUCUUGGUCUGGAGGAACAUACACCAGCCAAAAAACAUUGCGUCCAAUGUUAUGUGAGGCAUGCUCCAAGACAUAAGAGAAUGACUUCGACAGAGACACCGACAAAUGGCUGUCAACCCCUUCUCCUCGAUAUGUGUGUGGGGGGGGGUUUCCCUUACCUAGUGCCACUUUUGGGUCCCUUAGCUGCCCUAUUGCUUCUCCUUUCUGUGAGUACAUGUAUUUUUCAGAGGAUUAUGAUGUUCAUUAAUAACCAGAUAGAAGUGUUUAUGGCAAAGCCCAUUCAGGUACACUAUCAUCAGCUGGAGAUGGCAGAUCAACAAACCUACCAGAAGGAAUUCCCACGAGUGGCCCAUAUGAUGAUGAGGCCUAACUGCCCUGGGGCAAUGGACAGGCAGUCAGAGAUGGGCAACUAGGACAUGCAUGUUAAUUCCAAUGGCCACCUAAGACAGGCACAGGACCAACUGCUGUUCUGCAAGCCCAUGACAGGUAAGGCCUUAUUAGGUUCAUGCAAUGAGGUCCUUGACCUAAAACAGAUGCUGUCCGGCAGGGCCUGCCAUACUGUUGAUUAAAUAAUAUAAAAAGGGAGGAGAUGUAGGGAGCCGAGUGACAGCCCAUUGCUGCCUCCCUGCCUCUCUCUCUCCUAUGGGCACUGUGUCUGCCUACAUUAACCAUAAUCCUCUCCUGCUUACGUCACGUACCCGGAUGUGAAGGUGACCCUGUUGUAUUCAUCCUUUUAACCUCUUCCUGUCCCACCUCCCACCCUUGGCCUAUAAAAGAUGUAAUCACUUCCAGAAUAAACGGAGGUUUGAUUGGAUUAUUUCGACUUGCUUUCAUCUCUCUUUGUCUCCC